rnacentral:sRNA from 2 species
UUUUAGCCCCGAUUGAAGGGAAAAUCCUUUUUUAAAUGCUGCAUUUGAGCAUUUAAAAAAGAUUGGAAUGAAAGCGGGACUGAUU